rnacentral:miRNA from 1 species
CGGUUCUCCUUCGGAGCCGAGGCUGUAUCGUAACCAGGCUGUGAACGGUCGAGCAUGGGUAUGAUACGACCUCAGUUCGCUGGAGCCUCUC